UACGUAGGGAGCGAGCGUUGUCCGGAUUUAUUGGGCGUAAAGAGCUCGUAGGCGGUUUGGUAAGUCGGGUGUGAAAGCUCCGGGCUCAACUCGGAGAGGUCACUCGAUACUGCCAUGACUGGAGUCCGGUAGGGGGGUGUGGAAUUCCCAGUGUAGCGGUGAAAUGCGCAGAUAUUGGGAGGAACACCGGUGGCGAAGGCGGCCCACUGGAUCGGUACUGACGCUGAGGUGCGAAAGCGUGGGGAGCAAACAGG
rnacentral:rRNA from 1 species